rnacentral:rRNA from 1 species
UGGGAAUAUUGGACAAUGGGCGCAAGCCUGAUCCAGCCAUGCCGCGUGUGUGAAGAAGGCCUUCGGGUUGUAAAGCACUUUUGUCCGGAAAGAAAUCCUGUCGGCUAAUACCCGGCGGGGAUGACGGUACCGGAAGAAUAAGCACCGGCUAACUUCGUGCCAGCAGCCGCGGUAAUACGAAGGGUGCAAGCGUUACUCGGAAUUACUGGGCGUAAAGCGUGCGUAGGUGGUUUGUUAAAGUCUGAUGUGAAAGCCCUGGGCUCAACCUGGGAACUGCAUUGGAUACUGGCUUACUAGAGUGCGGUAGAGGGUGGCGGAAAUUCCCGGUGUAGCAGUGAAAAUGCGUAGAUAUCGGGAGGAACAUCCGUGGCGAAGGCGGCCAACCUGGACCAGCACUGACACUGAGGCACGAAAAGCGUGGGGAGCAAAACAGGAUUAGAUACCCUGGUAGUCCACGCCCUAAAACGAUGCG